GAUGAACGCUAGCUACAGGCUUAACACAUGCAAGUCGAGGGGAAACGACAUCGAAAGCUUGCUUUUGAUGGGCGUCGACCGGCGCACGGGUGAGUAACGCGUAUCCAACCUGCCCACCACUUGGGGAUAACCUUGCGAAAGUAAGACUAAUACCCAAUGAUAUCUCUAGACGACAUCUGAAAGGGAUUAAAGAUUUAUCGGUGAUGGAUGGGGAUGCGUCUGAUUAGCUUGUUGGCGGGGUAACGGCCCACCAAGGCAACGAUCAGUAGGGGUUCUGAGAGGAAGGUCCCCCACAUUGGAACUGAGACACGGACCAGACUCCUACGGGAGGCAGCAGUGAGGAAUAUUGGUCAAUGGGCGCAGGCCUGAACCAGCCAAGUCGCGUGAGGGAAGACGGUCCUACGGAUUGUAAACCUCUUUUGUCGGGGAGUAACGUGCGGGACGCGUCCCGUAUUGAGAGUACCCGAAGAAAAAGCAUCGGCUAACUCCGUG
rnacentral:rRNA from 1 species